rnacentral:piRNA from 1 species
UAUCAAGGGUUUCUUGUUGGUGUCUGACA